UGGCUUAGGACGAACGCUGGCGGCGUGCUUAACACAUGCAAGUCGAACGGAAAGGCCCUGCUUUGUGGGGUGCUCGAGUGGCGAACGGGUGAGUAACACGUGAGUAACCUGCCCUUGGCUUUGGGAUAACUUCAGGAAACUGGGGCUAAUACCGGAUAGGAGCUCCUGCUGCAUGGUGGGGGUUGGAAAGUUUCGGCGGUUGGGGGAUGGACUCGCGGCUUAUCAGCUUGUUGGUGGGGUAGUGGCUUACCAAGGCUUUGACGGGUAGCCGGCCUGAGAGGGUGACCGGCCACAUUGGGACUGAGAUACGGCCCAGACUCCUACGGGAGGCAGCAGUGGGGAAUAUUGCACAAUGGGCGGAAGCCUGAUGCAAGCAACGCCGCGUGCGGGAUGACGGCCUUCGGGUUGUAAACCGCUUUCGCCUGUGACGAAGCGUGAGUGACGGUAAUGGGUAAAGAAGCACCGGCUAACUACGUGCCAGCAGCGGC
rnacentral:rRNA from 1 species